GACGAACGCUGGCGGCGUGCUUAACACAUGCAAGUCGAACGGAAAGGCCCUGCUUUUGUGGGGUGCUCGAGUGGCGAACGGGUGAGUAACACGUGAGUAACCUGCCCUUGACUUUGGGAUAACUUCAGGAAACUGGGGCUAAUACCGGGUAGGAGCUCCUGCUGCAUGGUGGGGGUUGGAAAGUUUCGGCGGUUGGGGAUGGACUCGCGGCUUAUCAGCUUGUUGGUGGGGUAGUGGCUUACCAAGGCUUUGACGGGUAGCCGGCCUGAGAGGGUGACCGGCCACAUUGGGACUGAGAUACGGCCCAGACUCCUACGGGAGGCAGCAGUGGGGAAUAUUGCACAAUGGGCGGAAGCCUGAUGCAGCAACGCCGCGUGCGGGAUGACGGCCUUCGGGUUGUAAACCGCUUUCGCCUGUGACGAAGCGUGAGUGACGGUAAUGGGUAAAGAAGCACCGGCUAACUACGUG
rnacentral:rRNA from 1 species